CCCAGUUCUGUCCAUUGCAAGGCACCGGGGGUUUUUCACCCUGGUGAUCUUCUGUACCUGGCUCGUCAUCCUUGCUCUGCUCUUGUGUGUCUAACUGCCUACCACUUUUCUACACUGAAAAUCAUACAGGCCUUAGAGCCUAGAUCUAAGGUUUAGUCCAGUGG